rnacentral:lncRNA from 1 species
UCUUCUCCGUUUACUCGGUUUGCCAAGCGUCCAUCUUUGCAAUUUCCGCACCGACCACCGUUGGAACAGUCUGGGAUCCAUCACCGACCACGGUUCGAAGCUGGAAUUGACCUCCAGAUCCGGAGAAAAAAAUCCGUCUCGAUGGCGCCAUAAAUGAUGAUGGUGCUCGUGUGCCAUUGGGGGAUCAAAUAUCUCUUCGACAAGUGUUAAUCCUUACGGACAGAGGAAGCACCACAACACUUCUUCUCCAAAGCCGACAUGGCCAGAUACCCCUGGAGAAGCACCGACGGCGCAUAUCACGAACAGUACGCCUUGCAAAA